rnacentral:lncRNA from 1 species
UUCGAUGAUAUUUCAUUUUUCUCUUUGCCACCGCACUGGAGCUUCCCUAGCAAGCCACUCCCUGCUAUAUUUGUGCUUCAAUAGUCAGACUGCUUGGAUCUCCAAACAAAUAUCUUGAACAGUUAAGUCCUCAAAUUUUUAAGCCUCGGUUUCUUGAUUUAUAUUAUGCUGAUGGUUGAUGUUAGGAAAAUUUAAAAUUUAAUAAUAAAUAUAAAAUUUGUAUGUUUUGUUUAUUCAUAAAUUUUGUUAAAAUUAAAUAAUAAAUUUACUUGGAAGUUGCACAUUUACUGAUCAAUAAUAGAUUUGAUGAAUAGAAAGCUUAAGUUGUUGUCAAGGAUUAAACCCUUUGUCCUUAAGGAAAAAAUUUCCAAUCACUUAAUGUACACGAUUUUGAUGCAAUUGCUUCCCAAGACUUCAACAACACUACCUUAAAGAAUUUUACACCUCUUCAUGGUCAACGAACUUAUGACAUUUAACUUAAUUUUCUUCCCCACAAUAAUAAAUCUCUUGAAAAAACUUAAAAAUUUUCUUUAAUAAUUUGUUCUUGAAAAUAAGAGAUAAUAAUGAGAUGAAGAAAUAUUUCACUAUUUAUAAUAGCAUAUAAAACAAAAUGGACUAUCUGGUUUUAUUAAUCAAAACAUAACUGUAAUUUCAUGUAACUUACAAUAAAUUGUAUAUAAAACCUUUUUUUCUUAAAGCUUACAAAAUAUAUUAUUCUAUUAUUAUUUUUAUUAAAAUAUUCUAACAACUCCCUCAUAUUUCAAUAAAAACAUUUAAGCACUAUUAAAAAAUUGUAUAAUAUAGGUGUCAAUGGUUUGAACCUACAUUUUGUGUUCAACAAUUUCUACUCCAAAAUCAAUAAUGAAUUAAGUCUUGAACUAAGGCUACUUUAGGAAACAAAAUAUUGGAUCAUACAUAGAGAUUUUCUACUUCCAUCAACCCUCACAUGAAUGAAAAUUUUCUUACCAGUAAUAAGACUUGAAGAUUUGUAGAGAGAAAAUUGAAUUGGAAGAAUGCCACAUUAGGAGAAGUAGCUUUUGGAUUUGAACUUUCCUUAGUGAAGUAUCAUUGGUUUUUUUCACACUCAGUUUUCAUUAACGUGCUGAAUUUAAAGGAGAGACGAGGUUUAAUUCAAUAAAAAUAAUAAGUCGACGGGCUCCACUAGAAAACUUGGAAAAUUUUGGUGGUUGACUAAUAAUUAAUUGAGAUCUAAUUUUGGUUCAAUUAAUAUGAAAUCAACUGGUCCUUAGUGGGAGUCAAAAUGAUUGCCAAUAGAUGGCUUAAUUGGGGGCUUUUGUGACCGUACAAGAAGGGCUAUAUAUAUAUAAGUGAAGAGGAUUAUUCUGAUGGCAGAAGUCUCCUCAUUUCUGAUUUUUUUCUUUCUUUCUACACCAUCUUCUUCAGUUGCUACGAAGAAAAAAAGUUGAGGAAACACUGCAUGAGGUAGUGAUCGUGAGGCCUGAGGCCAUGAAGUAGAAAAUUUGAGGAACUGCUUCUAGGAGGAAGAAGACUCUGGCAUUUGGAAAGCUAAGCUAGCGAGGAGAAUGGAUUUAAGGUGAGUUUUUGCACUCUAUCUUUGGGUGGUUGAUGAUGUGUUGCUUGCAUGAUUUGCGAGUGUUAUGAGUUUGUUUAAAUCCACGACUGUGGAUAAAUAUGGUGAAUAAGUAUGAUGUGCAUGCAUAACCUUGUGUAAGUAUGUGUAUGCUUGCAAGUAUGAUCAAUGGAUGUCAAAUGGUUGUGAAUUGACGUAUUGAUAAAUGGCUUAAUAUAUGUUAUGGUAAUAUGUAUGUUUAUUGGCUUGAAAUACAUGUUUAUAUUAUAUGCAGAAUACGAGGGAGUUACCUUGACAAGGUAGAUUAAGAUAGGAAAAAUUGGUGUAAUGGAGGAAUGAGUGGAUUGUUAUGGGAUUCAAGGGAGUUGGGUGGCAUUGUGGAACAAAUAUCUACAGGUUCUUCAGGGAAACACCGUGAUGACAGUAUAUAAGUCAUUCGGGGUGACAUCAUGACGAUGAUAUAUAGGUCCUUCGAGGUGACACUGUGUAAACGGUAUACAGGUCCUUUGGGGUGACACCUUGAAAGGGGUUUAUUGAUUCUUCAUAAUCAAAAUUUCAUGUUUAGUCAUGGCAUGAUCCAGUGGUGAACAUGUACACUUAUGGCGAAUUGGAGUCCACGGGGUUAAUAAAAAGGGAAACUUAUCGGGGCAUCAAAGAAAAGUCACUGUAUAACUCGUACGCCUAGCAAUUUGAUAUAAUGAUCAUGGCAUAUUUAAGAACACUAGCAAGCAUGCUAAUGAAAGGAUCUGCCAAAUUUUGAAGGUAGGAAGAACUAGUAGAAAGACUUGAGUGUGGACAUUAGUGAGAAGAAGGUGUAUUUCCUUUGAGGUAUUAACAAAUAGGUAACCACCAAUAUGAGUGUGCUAGAGUUUGAAGAAUAAACCAACAUAGGCCAUAUUAAAGCGAAAUGGUUAUACAUAUUUGAGUUCUAAGUAUUCAUGGGUAAAGAGGUCACCUGAAUACGUGGGAAGUCCACUAAGGAAUAUUUUGGGUGGAAAGUCCAAUGGGAAAAUUGUUAGAGUAUGCCCAAAUAUCAAUCAUGAGAUGGUUGUAAUAACAUACUUGAUUUAUCAUGUUUAUUAAUAUAAGACGUUACCAUUAUUAUUUCAGUUUCUUUCCUGUAUGUAUAAAUAAACUGUUUUAUAAUAAUGUCCUGAGAAUAAUAUGAUUAUUCUUAAAAGGUCCUUAGUCAAGUAUUAUUGUUGGCUAGGACAACAAUAAUGCAUUAAGACUAACAUGUAGUUGAUUGAUGAUAAAGAGUUGUCAUUGAUAUGGAAUGUCAAAAUCGAUACAUGAAUAUGUAUGUUAGAGAAAAACAUAUUGGACUGACCCGUUAUGAGUAUGUUUCUUGGAUUAUUAUGUAAUUGUCACAACAUUACUCAUAGUGAUUAAUAUGUAUAUGAUCCUCAGACUUGAGAUCAUCAUAAUCCUAACAUCGUGAGUUGUAUAUUUUGAUACAGUCAAAUGUACACCGUAACUGAUUAUUCUAUAAAGGCUGAUGUUGGAUAUACCACGAUCUGUGUAGAGGGAUAUGGUUGGUCGAUAUAGGAUAAGUCCCUCCUACAUAAUGGGAGUAAUGUCUUAGGCAACUUGAUUGAGUGAGACUAGAAAUGCAUGGCCAUGCUCAAAUAAGCUGAUAUGAGAUGUCAUACUUAUUUGUAUAUCAUAGUCUACUUAAGAAUAUCAAGGAACAUGGAAUGGACUAUGCAAGUGUGACUAUUCCAUGACUUGUGUCCAAUCCAGAGAUAAAGGACUUAAGGAUUAUUGCAUGAAAGGUUAAUCAUAAAAAGGUUAUGUCGAAUCAUGAUUUCUUGUGACUUAGGUAGCAAUGAUGCAUUGCUAGGUGCCACUCAUUGUUUGUAACAUUGGAAUCGUUCUAGUAUUACUGGUAACGUUACAAGAACCUAUAGGGUCACACCCUAUAGUUGAAAUGAACGGAAUAAAACAUAGUUGGUAUUGUGUUUGGUUGUCGCUUGAAUUAAAUUAAUUACAGAAUUAAUUUAAUUGGGUAAUCAAAUAUUGAAUACAUUAUAUGUACAAGGUUGUUGUACGCAUAAUGAAAACAUGAAUUUGGUUCUUAUAUAAGUUCAAAUAAAUGUAUAGUUUACCGAAAUCUUUAUUAUAAUUAAUGUAAUUAUAAUUUUUAGUUUAAAAACACUGUUAUAUUUAUUUAAUUUCUAGAAACCCUAAAAAUGGAUAUAAAAUCUUGUUUUUCCUUUGCUUGGUGGGUCUAGCAGCCGUCAAAGCAAAGUCUUUUCCAAAACAGUUUUGGGGAUUCUUUCAGUUCAUUGUCAACUAGGUGGAUUACGUAGAGUCACGAUAGAUUGCGGCUUGGUUUGAUAGUAGACUAGAUUACUCAUUGCUGAGGCAUCGCUGUCUGCUUAGAAUAAAGAUUCAGUAAUUUUGAAACCUUUAUUUCACCCCGAUUUGUUCCUCACCCAUGGAUCCAUGGUUAGGAUCACCGGAUGUUUUAUUUUUCCACUACACCGUAGGGGUGCCGGCAUUCCAACACAAAUAACAGAGGAAGCAGAGGUUUGACAUGACUAUAUAGCGUGGGGAAAGCCAAUUUGGACUAUAAAAAAUGGAGGUCUGCCAAGGCACAAACAAGAAGAAGAUAGUCCACUGAGAACUAUCUACUAUUGGUAGUAUUUAACAGAACACUGUAAUAUAGGAAAGUUCUAUGGGACUACCUGGAAAGUACGAGUCCUCAAUGAUGGGGGUGCUUAUUCAUCAACCAAAACUCUUACCCAAGGCUGCAAAUGAAGAUUUUAUUGAGUGGGUCUUUCUAAAAAGAAUGAUUGAUGCACAGACUAAGUCCUAAGAAGAUAAUCGUUGAGGCGAUGCAAGAAUGUUUAGAUUAAGUUCAGAGGGGAACGAAAGGGUUAGGGUAUAAAUAUGUAGUUGUGGCGAGAUAUUUGCCAAUCUGCCACUAGUAUUCAUCAAUCCGUAACUUUAUGUAUAUGGUUACUAUUGAUAAGUCAAAACAGGAAAUCUAUAAUGAAAGUCUACAAUGAAACUAAACAAGUUCAAGUCUUAGAAAGGAGUCAGCAGUAAGAGUAAAACAAAAAAUAAUUCAACCUGAUUUUUUGCAAAUUUUUCUUUGAGAAGAAUGUAUAGGUGUCAUCUACGCUAGAUAAAAUAUGGAACUUCCCAUGAUAUACAGGGAGUUAAAUUAUGCGAACUAGUCUUUUAUUUCUUAAAUCUCAAAACAUUUGUAAACACAGUAGCAUAAACUCUCACUAAGUUCUUUUGAACUUAUGUGUUUUUACCUUGAAUGUAGGGUCAAGGGAUGACGCAAUGAUCAUGUGAAGGCAUCAAAAUCGAACCAGAUUCGUGUACAUGAUCGAAACUCAUUAUUUUUAAAAUCAGACUAUAUUACCUAUUUAUAAAAACUUACAACAGAGACAAUAUUUUAAAAAAUAAUAAAUACAGUUCACCAUCUAAACUUUGGACUCUAAGGAAUCUAAGUAAAUACAACAUAAUUGCUCCCUUGGCGAAGUUCCUAUUCGUAACCCUUAUCCUAUGUGCAUGAAACUUUCUUUUGAUGCCCCUUGACUUAUUACAGUCUAGCUCAGUCCCUCCUCGAGUUCCUCAGUUCACAAAUCCUACAACAACAGAUCUAACCCUUAUAAGUUCGAAUGUGUAACAUAUUUGUCUAUUGUGGGCUGCUCAAUCCUUCAGUACCCUGCUAACUAUCGUCAGAGUGGUUAUUUGAGCCUACAAUCUCUUUCUCAUGUUAGUCCCCUAUGGACUAGUCAUAUGGCGGGUAUUUUCCCAAUGAAUUUGCCCUUUCGAAGAGGAAUAGUCUUUCCAGAUAUUUUUGUCAUCCCGUGUAUCCUUCUUUGUCAAUAGGUUUUUAUCAGCCCUUUUUUCCUUAUGGACUGUUCGUCGUACUUAUGAUAAACCACUAGCUUAUAGAGUUUCUUUGAGCACCCUCAACGUUCCUUAAUGGUGAAUCCUUAUCUACGAUCCUUGGUUAAACUAUCUUUCAUUUGUCUGUACACUAGGCACCACUAGUGAGUCAAUUCCAGUGACCACUUCCUAUGGGGUUACUACCCAUAUACUUUACUGGCUUUCACAACUGCUAUUCUAGUAGUCUUUUCCCACUUUAUAUUUUCUUUUUCUUGGUGGACUCUUUCUACCUGCUGGCUAUCUAAUGCAUGACCAUACUUCCCUUUUUCCUUCUAACCCUUUUUCUUGUUUGCAAAAGUUUCUACUAUUGUCAUUUUCAUUGACCACCUGUGUUUACUGUCCCGACGGACUAUCCCAUUUUUAAUGUCUCGUCAAACUAUCUCAUGUUUAAUGUCUCAUUGGACUAUCCAUGUUUAAUGUCCCUUCAGACUAUCUUGUGUUUAAUGUCCCAUUGGACUAUCUUGUGUUUAUUUUCUCGACGGGAUUUUUCGUGUUUACUAUCCCAUCGUACUAUCCUGUGUUUACUAUCUUAGCAAACAAUUUAUGAUGCCGUAGCGUCUAUAAUGACCCGGAUUCCAGUGGUGCCGAAAAUGACAGUUCAGAACCCCAUUCUCCAAUAGUCGAGUCUAUAAAUAUUAUUUAAUAAUAUUUAUGUUUAUUAUAGUGUUAUAUUGGAUUUUGAUUUGAUAGAUUUUAUUAAUUGGUUAGUUAAUCAAGGUGCAAGUGGUUUGUACUGAAAGUCAGUAGUUUUGGAAAAUUAGGUAUCAAGACCUCAUUUGCAUAAAUUGAGCAAAUAAAUAUUUAAUAAAAAUAUUUACGGAGCUUUUGUAUAAGUGAAUUGAAUUUCGGUUGGUUAAUUUUAUCGAAUUUGUGCUUAAUUAUGGUACAAGGACUAAAUUAUAAAAGUUUUAAAAGUUAAAUUGUUAGUGAAUCAUUAAUUAGAAAUUAAUUAAGGGACUCAUAAGACAAUUAAACCAUGUUUCUAAUUAUAGUGGAUGUAACAUGGGUUUUAAUGGUUGAAAAUGUUAUGAAAUAAUAAAUAAACAAAUAUGUUAUAAAAACAUAAAUGAAUAAAGUAAAAUAAAACUUAGUAGUGCAGAACAAAAAGCAAAAAUUUUCAUCUUUCCUUCGUGCAAACCGAAACUAAGGGAAGGGAUGAGAAGAACAUUCAGCCUUAGGGCUUAAAUAUUUCAAGCUUCAAUUAGUUAAUUCAAUUUAGUUCUUUUCUUGUAAUUUAAUUUAUCAAAUUACCAUUUUAACCUUGGUUAAUAAUUUAAUAAAACGUAAAAUCUAUGUCCAUAUUUGUCCAUUUAUGGUUUAAUUACCAUUCAAGUCCUUUUACCUUUAUUCAUUAAGCCAUUUAAUCACUCAACUCUAACAGUGAUCAAAUUUUACAUCUUUUACGAUUUAGUCCUUAACGAAACUUUAAUACAACCUUAAUAACACUCCGUAAACAUUUUUAUAAAUAUUUACUACUCGGUUUAUAAGAAAGAGCUCCCGAUAACUCAUCUUCUAAAACCACUUGACUUUAGGGUAUUACCACUUGAACUUAAUUAAUCAUUCAUAUAACAUAAAUUAUCAUAUCAAAAACCUUUUUAAAACCAUAUUUGACUCUUAAAUAUUAAAUAAUAUGCACGAACUUACACAUCGGACUUGUGGCCCCGAAACCACUGUUCCCGACACCACUGAAAAGCGGGUUGUUACACAUAAACAUAACACUUGUAAGUUCAGAAGAACUUAGUGUGAGUUAAAAAAAAUACCUAGGUGGAUACUUUUUUAAUUCCAGCCUUAGACUUACACGCCAACUACCAUACUCUUAACGUACUAAUUCUCUCUUAACUACCUGACUAACUUAAGAUCUUUCCAAAAAAUACAUUAAUCUCUUCUUUUUCUUAAAACCACAAAAGUACUUUUCAAAAAAUAUGUCUUCAAAGCCCACUUCAUACAUACUAUCUCUUUAUACAUAUACUUAUUCUAGAACAACUGUUCACAUAUAUUGUUUACUGAUGGGUUCUUACACAUUUGACGGAUUCCCACGACAAGUUGGAUUCCAUCAGUUUACAAAAUCAAAUUAAAUUUUAAUUUAUACUCAAUACAUGCUUAUAUGAUAAUGAAGUAUCCAGAUCGUUCAGAAUUAUUACCCACAAAUUUAUUACAAAACACAACUUUACCCAAGAUCCCAAACAACUUAGAUUUACAUAAGAUUUCCAAAGUAAGACGUAAUACUAUUCAGAUAUGGCGGAUACCAGAUAACUCAGGUUCAACCCUAAAAAGUACAGUCAAACUUAGAGUAAUAAAUACUUAUCUCAUUCAUGACUACAAACAUGCCCAAACCACAAAUUGACAAGUUGUCAUAGUGGAUACCCUCUCUAAACAUACAAUUACUCCCUUUUUGGCGUAUAACUUCCUUUAAGUCUUAUCUGAUUACAUCACAGAACUAAUUCAACCAAAUUAAUUUUAGACAUAUCAUAACCUCAUCAUAGACCUACUUAUCAAAGAUUUAUAUGAACUUACCACAAGGGAGAAUAAUAACAUUUUACCAUACAAACUUACUAGAUUAUGCUAUGAAGGCCAAUAGAGUACUCCAUAAAGGCAACAAAACGAGUCACAUUUUUAUUGUCCCGAUGGACUUUUAUAGAAGGUGUCAUGGGUUUCUCCCUUAUGGACUUAUACAUAAAUUUCAUGUAACGUGCUUUGCCAGUUCAAUCAACACAUUAUCGAAGGCUACAUUGUAACACCCUCUACCCAGCUCGAUUUUCGAACCCAAGUAAUAAGACGCCACAUCACACGUUAAAGUCUAAAAUACCCUACACGACAUUAAAAUUUACUAAAUAUACAUCAAGGGACCUUAUAUCAAGUUAAGAACAUGCUUAAACACCACUUAAUGAAAAUUUCCAAAAAGUCACAUAGGUACCGAAACACACUCGUUGGUAUCGAUAUUUCUCAUAGUGGGUAUUGAUAUCUUUAGGAAAUUGGUAUCUUUUUAGCAUUCUGUUUCUCUGUAAAUUUUAAAACCCAAUAAUUUAUUGAUACAAUUCAUAAAGUACUUAUAUUUUCACCCCAAGUAUCGAUACCAAUUUAAGCUACUGACUUCCUACACAUUCGUUUCAACAUGGGGGUAUCGAUACUUAAGCCUCGAUUACUGAUACCUCUAUAUAAUCAGUAAAAAUAACAUCAAAAUAGGGCAUUUAACAUAUUCGAUCACAUACCACUUCAACAUGCAUCCAUACUUCAGUAUUCCACAUCAAAACGACCAUGCUUGCAGUUCAAAACAAUAAUAAUAAUUCAAACCAAAACAAAACCAAUAAGAUAAUAACAUCAACUAUCAAACUUACAGGUAUAAAAUCAAAACAACCAUUUAAAAUGUACUAUUAAGCAACCAAAAACUCUACCACAUUUCCUUGUUCCAUUAGUUAAAAAAUAAUAGCAAUAAUAUCAUCUACUCAAACACUAAGCCUAGCUUGGAUCACUUCCUUGGAAUUCUGCACCGCUCACAUCGCAACGCUAAUUAUCUGCAAUGGUUUAGAAUGGAGUGUGUGAGCUUAAACAAGCUCAGUGAAUGAUCAGAAAACUACCAAUAAACAUGAUAUCAUACAAUAAAUGAAAGCAACCAGAACACAUUUACAUACAUAUUUAGCCAUGGUGACAUGCUAAAUAUUCAUGUAUCAACUAUCAACUUAUAACUUUAUAAUUGCCUAAUUAGACACAUAUCACAUUCCAUAAUAUUUCAUUUAAAGAUAAAUUGGCACUUGAGCUAUGAAACAUAAAAGUGGGCUCUAUCACCACACAUUGGAUACACGGAUCUCCAACACACCAAUGACUUGAAGAGUCGAACAUAGCCCAAACGCAUAGCAUUUGGCUAACACUCUCUAACACACCAAUAUAUCUCGAUGAACGGAGCUGAACUCACAUUUUCUUAUCUCUCCAAAACUGUCUCGGGCCUUAAUGCCCCAAAUCACAAUACAAGGUUGAGUACACACAUAAUCCUAUGGCAUGCCAACUAUAUCCAACGGUCUCAAAAGGUCACAAGGAAAAAGUAUCCACAAUUAAAACACACAUUUUCUUAUCAUUUUUUGCACACUUUCACUGCACAUUUGCAUUAUUAACACAACAUCGUCACUGUCAUUCAACAUGUAUAACAUAUCUAGGAUAGGGGUUUAGGCUACUCCUAAGCUCCCACUUAAUACUAUGAAUCGUGUCUACAAGCAGCGAUUCCAAACACUCACCAUUCGCACUUUCGCUUAGUCCUAAAAAGCUUAAACUAGCUUUUCCUUUCCUUUUAUCUUGCUCGUCGAAGGCUCCAAUGUAACUCCCUAAAAUUUUUUGAGAACUUAUUUACGAGAAUCUGCAAUAAUUGAAUUUUUGUAUCUCUGGUUCUGUGCUUUGCAUUUGUGUUUAAGGUCUGGAGUUCGAGUUGUAUUGUUAAAAGUUUUCUUAUUUCUCUUUUAAACAACCUCUAUCCUUGUGUUAUAUAGUUAAGUGCAAUUCUGUGUAAAGUUGUGUCAAGAAUGAGCCUGUUGGUUCAUUGGUUAAGCAUCUGUCAGUAUCUUGUCUGGUCCAAAGUUUGAAUCCUAGCAUAUGCAUUAGGAGAAAUUUUUGUAUUUUUUUCGGAAACUAGAUGGUGCUUAAGACAAUAGUUUAAAUGUUUCUUUCCCUGCUUCUUCUCUUUCUCUAUUUUCUUUUAUUUUUUCUGUCUUUUACUUCUUCGAAAUUUCCUCUUUUGAUUGCAUUCAACAAGAGAUUAUCGAAAUUAGUGAAACUCUUAAGUUGUUGGAGGAAUUCUGUGUAACUUUUGUCAAAAAAAUCUUAAACCUCUGCGAAAUUUCAUUCCUUUCCUAUCAUGUUGUGAAAUUGGGAACUCUUUGCUUGUUCGCAUAAACUCUUUGAUAACUGAUUGUUUUUGUUUCCUUAGGCGUGAGUAUGGAAGAAGGUGAUCUCUCGUGAGUUAUGCUGAGUUAAAACUGUCGAGUUAUCGAUUUCGGGACUUCUCCGUGUUGAUUCUACUUCAAACAAGAUUAGGUGCGUGCCGAAAACCCUAUUUUUACAAAUUUUGGUCGCUAGAAAAUAUGGCUAUAGACGCCACACGGCCAGGCACAUGGGCGUGUGUCUAGGCCGUGUGAGCCACAUUCCCGUGUAACUUACUAUUCAUCAAUUUAGGGCCGUAUUGGUAAGGCACACGGCCGUGUGUGGCCAUAUUAGUGCAGGGUUCACACGGGCAACGGACACGAGCAUGUGUCUAUGCCGUGUAACUUAUUGUUCAUUGUCUUUAUUCCACACGGGUAAGGACACAAGCGUGUGUCCAGGCCAUGUAACUCUCUGUUUGUGAUUUAGGACCACACGGCCAGGGACAUGGGCGUGUGCCCAGGCUGAGUGAGGCACACGGGCAAGGACACAAGCGUGUGCCCAGGCCUUGUAACUCACUAUUUAUGUUUUGGAACCAUAUGGGUAGAGGACACGGGCAUGUGUCCAGGCCGUGCGAACCACAUGGGUAAGGACAUGGGCAUGUGUCAAGGCCAUGUGGCAUAUAAAUUGGGUCCAAAUCUCAUUUCUUUGAGGCCAUGUGUGUGGCCGACACUGAUCCUGACCUCCUCAAUGUAUGAAUGAUUUGAAUUCGAUUGUAUGAGGGCUCUCUGAUGCUCUAUGAUUAACAUAUGUAUAGCAUUACUGUAUCUAUAUUGUGAUAGCUAUUUUUGAUAUUGAGCUACACUCUAUAAAUAUGGAUAUUUGUAUACUGCAUAUGUAUGGGUUGGGAUAUUGUGAAGAAGAAAGUACUAUACUCUAAACUAGUGGCUAAGCCACAAUGUGGAUAACUCUGAAUCUGGUGCUUUGACGUAUUUGGAUAGCUAAUCUGCAACUCUGUAAACGUGUUAGACAAACACUAUAUGGUGUGUAGGGUUGGAUGGGCAUUGAACGCCCUUAAUGGUGUGUUGGAAUGGCCGAAGAUGGUGUGUAGAGGUUGGGGGUAGGAAAACUUGCAUAUGAAACUGAUUUGCUCUGUAAAUAAAAUUGAACUACUUCUGCUUCUAUAACUAAACUGUUCUAUAUCUGAACUGGAAUGACAUCUGUUGCUUAAUUGAAUCUCGGGAUUUGAGAAUACUCUUUCAACUAUAUUCCACUUGAAUGAACUUCUUUUAUGCAAUAAGUUAUAACUUACUCUGUUACUGAUUGGAUUUCAGGUGGUUCUCAGAUUUGAACGGGUCGACUUCAUGGGAGCUCGGUCAAGCUUUUAUCCUUUUUUAUAAAUACUACUAUUAGGAAAUUUAGUUUUCUAAAAUAUUAUAAAGUUUGAAAAGAUUUUAUAUUUAGUUCAUUGCUGUGUUGGAUGUUAUGUAGCAAAUGGUUCAUUCUGACUACGUUAUAAAUGUGGUGAUCUU